GUGGGCAGAGCUCAGUGGCAGAGCAUGUGCUUAGCUUGCAUGAGGUUCUGGGUUCAAUCCCCAGUACUUCCG
rnacentral:tRNA from 1 species